GACAGAGGUGCCGAGCGUUAGGCGGAAUCACUGGGCUUAAAGCGUGUGUAGGCGGGUCGUUAAGUGUCUUGUGAAAUCCCACCGCUCAACGGUGGAACCGCUGGGCAUACUGGCGAUCUUGAGCAGUCCAGGGGCGAGCGGAACAAGCGGUGGAGCGGUGAAAUGCGUAGAUAUCGCUUGGAACGCCGACGGUGAAAACAGCUCGCUGGGGACUCGCUGACGCUGAGGCACGAAAGCCAGGGGAGCGAACGGG
rnacentral:rRNA from 1 species